rnacentral:rRNA from 1 species
GAUGAACGCUGGCGGCGUGCCUAAUACAUGCAAGUCGAGCGAACAGACGAGGAGCUUGCUCCUCUGACGUUAGCGGCGGACGGGUGAGUAACACGUGGAUAACCUACCUAUAAGACUGGGAUAACUUCGGGAAACCGGAGCUAAUACCGGAUAAUAUAUUGAACCGCAUGGUUCAAUAGUGAAAGACGGUUUUGCUGUCACUUAUAGAUGGAUCCGCGCCGCAUUAGCUAGUUGUUCAGGUAACGGCUUACCAAGGCAACGAUGCGUAGCCGACCUGAGAGGGUGAUAGGCCACACUGGAACUGAGACACGGUCCAGACUCCUACGGGAGGGAGCAGUAGGGAAUCUUCCGCAAUGGGCGAAAGCCUGACGGAGCAACGCCGCGUGAGUGAUGAAGGUCUUCGGAUCGUAAAACUCUGUUAUUAGGGAAGAACAAAUGUGUAAGUAACUAUGCACGUAUUGACGGUACCUAAUCAGAAAGCCACGGCUAACUACGUG